GGCUGGCGUCCCGGAGCUCCGGGCGCCCCACGACCGCCACCGGCAUCACCUGGGCCGCUACGCCGCAGUGCCUGGCCUGCUGUCCCCGAGCCCGGAGCUUCCCGUCUGCUCCCGGGCGAAAUCGGAGACAAUUUCAACUCUGAGAGGAGCAACCGAGCAAGCGAAAUAAACUGUACACCACCAUGCACGUGCGACCAAAGUCUCUCGGCCCUCCUCCAUUUCGAAUACUUCUCUCCUUAUUUCCGAAAUACGCAUUGUUUUAAUACUUCGUCUCAGUUCCAAUAGAACGGAGAUAUUCUUAACUGUGAACUUUGCAGACAAUCAAAACCUUUUUAAAAGCCAUCCACCGAGACAACAAAGCGAUUAAGAUGUUUUCUAUUUCGUAAAUACCAUUUAAAAUUGCUAUAUUUUAUGCUCUGGGUUCUACACUGUCUUAUUUGCACACUAUUUUGUGUCUGAUUUAAUCUAUAACCGAAAACAUAAUGUAUUAAGUGAAUACAUAUUUGCUCAGCUGAUAAGCUUUUUUUAAUA
rnacentral:lncRNA from 1 species